rnacentral:rRNA from 1 species
AUGAAUCUUCUGCUGGGUGAUUCACCUGAAACGCCAUUGAGCAGCAGAACACACACAAGAGGAUCAAGCCCCAACCUAAUGGACGCUGAUCCUUCCUGCCACACCCCUGUGUCCCGUUCAACUGGACAAGCUAUAAUAUGGAAACGGAAUGCUUUGCAAAUGCAGAGUAUCAGAUACUGGUGUUCUAUUGUUCUAUUCAUGACCCUACACAUGAUUACAAGUAUGUUGGCUAACAUGAUAGAUAGUACUACAUGUACGUCCAAUUUUCCUGCAAUUGGUUUAUUAGAUAGCCUGAGUAUUCACCAAAUUGUUCUAUACUUUAUCUUUGUCUUCCCUGAUUUUAAUUAA